rnacentral:rRNA from 1 species
GCUGCCCGCGACAUUGCGAGAAGUCCACUGCAACCUUAUCAUUUAGAGGAAGGNAGAAGUCGUAACAAGGUUUCCGUAGGUGAACCUGCGGAAGGAUCAUUGUCGAAACCUGCAAAGCAGAACGACCCGAGAACGCGUUUUUACCUUACGUCGACAAUGUGCGGGCCUUGUGCCAACACAUUGUCGAACACAACUAAUCAUCGAGCGCGGAAUGCGCCAAGGAAAAAUAUAAAGAACAUAACCACCUCGUUGUAACCCUGAAACGGCGGUCUCCUCGAGGAUGCGUUUGUUCCAUAAGUCAAAACGACUCUCGGCAACGGAUAUCUCGGCUCUCGCAUCGAUGAAGAACGUAGCGAAAUGCGAUACGUGGUGUGAAUUGCAGAAUUCCGUGAAUCAUCGAGUUUUUGAACGCAAGUUGCGCCCGAAGCCAUUUGGCCGAGGGCACGUCUGCCUGGGCGUCACGCCAUCGUUGCCCCCUCCUCAAGCCCAUCACUCCCAAAAUGGGCGAUGAGCAUGUCGGGGGGGGCGUAUAUUGGGCUUCCCGUUUGCAUGUCUUCUGGGUUGGCCUAAAAUUGAAUUCCUUAGCUGCGAUCGUCGUGGCACAUGGUYGGUAUUCGAACUAAUCGUGAUCUGCCACGUGGGUUUGUCGGCGUAACGGACUAUAUAAACCCAAAUGUGUAACCUCAACUCGGGCGNACACUUUCCAACGCGGACCCCCAGGGUCANGCGGGGAUUACCCGCCUGGAANUUUAAGCCAUUAUCAAAUAANCCGGGAAGGAAAAAAGAAAACUUU